rnacentral:rRNA from 1 species
GCGCAGCCUACCAUGCCAGUUCGAGCGGUAGAGAGGUGCUUGCACCUCUUGAGAGCGGCGGACGGGUGAGUAAUGCCUAGGAAUCUGCCUGGUAGUGGGGGAUAACGCUCGGAAACGGACGCUAAUACCGCAUACGUCCUACGGGAGAAAGCAGGGGACCUUCGGGCCUUGCGCUAUCAGAUGAGCCUAGGUCGGAUUAGCUAGUUGGUGAGGUAAUGGCUCACCAAGGCGACGAUCCGUAACUGGUCUGAGAGGAUGAUCAGUCACACUGGAACUGAGACACGGUCCAGACUCCUACGGGAGGCAGCAGUGGGGAAUAUUGGACAAUGGGCGAAAGCCUGAUCAAGCCAUGCCGCGUGUGUGAAGAAGGUCUUCGGAUUGUAAAGCACUUUAAGUUGGGAGGAAGGGCAUUAACCUAAUACGUUAGUGUUUUGACGUUACCGACAGAAUAAGCACCGGCUAACUCUGUGCCAGCAGCCGCGGUAAUACAGAGGGUGCAAGCGUUAAUCGGAAUUACUGGGCGUAAAGCGCGCGUAGGUGGUUCGUUAAGUUGGAUGUGAAAGCCCCGGGCUCAACCUGGGAACUGCAUUCAAAACUGUCUAGCUAGAGUAUGGUAGAGGGUGGUGGAAUUUCCUGUGUAGCGGUGAAAUGCGUAGAUAUAGGAAGGAACACCAGUGGCGACGCGACCACCUGGACUGAUACUGACACUGAGAUGCGAAAGCGUGGGGAGCAAACAGGAUUAGAUACCCUGGUAGUCCACGCCGUAAACUAUCUCAACUAUCCGUUGGGAGCCUUGAGCUCUUAGUGGCGCAGCUAACGCAUUAAGUUGACCGCCUGGG